rnacentral:lncRNA from 1 species
GGAAGUUUGAUCGUAAGAGGCUCCAGUGAUUUUCCUUCCCACCUCUCCCCUCCCUAAUUUCUCUGCCUCGACACUCGCUCUGGAACAGAGCGAACUCAAAAAGCCCAUCGGCGCAGGGCGCGCUUCGCAGCCAAGCCCUGCCACUCUCCAGAGACUGUGAGGUGAUUCUCCUUCGUCACUGCUUGGACCAGGAACCACAGCCCUGCAGUGGUUGGCAGUUUUCCUCAACUUUGCGAGAGAGAGAGAGAGAUUGUGUUGGAAUGAAACCUUGCUCUGCGUACAGCCUGCUUGAGAUGCAGCAUUGAAAGCGAGCUGCAUGAGAAUUCUACAGAGUAAAACCUAAUUCUGUGCUGAAGAGGAACACUGUGAACACCCAGCAUAAAAUAGAAGAUGUUCUGUUCUCUACUGCACUGUCUUGAGCCAAACUUGGGAUCUAAAAGCCAAGCGAGGUUCUUUCAUCACCAGUCAUAAAGAUGCUGUAAGUCAGAUUGUCCCCUCAGGCUAUAUUUUGACAAUGUAGUAAAUUGAGCUUUGGGAACUUUCUACCAGAUCGAGAACUCUGUCACCUCAAAAUGCAAAGCACGGAUCCAUUAUAAAUUCUCUGAUGCAGUUUUAAAAAUAUAUUUUGAUGUGUUGACUUCUAGCAGCAAGCUCUGUGCCUUAUCUGAUACCUUUUGUUCCUUGCUGCUAGCGUUAACACAUAGAAGGGCUGGCAGUAAUGGCAUCUUGUGCCCUCACAUGAUCCAGGUG